rfam:Lutzomyia longipalpis Contig25101, whole genome shotgun sequence.
GUCAACGACCAUACUAUUAUGCUGAACAUACCGGUUCUCGUCUGAUCACCGAAGUCAAGCAGCAUCGGGCGCGGUUAGUACUUGGAUGGGGGACCGCUUGGGAACACCGCGUGUCGUUGGCU